rnacentral:lncRNA from 7 species
AUGCAUCAAGCACGGCAGGAAAGCCCAGAGAGGAGGCUGCAGUUCAAGAAGCCAGAAAGGAACAGACAGAACAGAACAAUCAAGGGAGAGAGCACAUCAGAGAGAAUCCCUCGAGGAGCGCUGACGGUGCCUCUGACGCCCGACGCCAUUUUCUCUGAAGCGACUGUGCCGCCACCGGACCCCGCCUGGAUGCAGCCCACCAUCCGCGGACCGAUGCCGGUACCACCCCAAGCCCUCCCUGUCCCCACUGCCACCUACCUGGCGCCUCAGGCCUCUGUCUGGCCUGGGGUACCAGGUGUCUGGGGACAGGCAGCGCGGCUCCCCCCUGGGGGGCUGCCCCCAACUGGGGCUCCACUGCCACCUGGGGGCCUGCCCCCAACUGGGGGGCUGCACUUACCGGUGCUGCAGCUGCUACCUGGGGGGCUGCACCCAGCUAUGGCUCCCCCCACUGCCCCCGCUCACUGCUGGGGACAUCCCCUGCUGGCAGGGACGCUGCCGCCCCAGCAGCCGAUGGGGCUGUGGCCUGGGGCCGUGUUCCACGGGGAGCCCCCGCAGCCCGCAGGCACCUGCCUGCCGCAGGCCCCCGGCCGCCCCGGCCCCCCGCCAGUUCUUUUGCAGGUACCACCACUGCAGGAGCAGGUGCUCCCCGUGCCCUGCACCCUGCCCGCCACCUGGGAGUCGCCGAUGGAGCCCUUUCAGGACGCCGUGGUGCUCACGGAGGACCAGGGGCACCCAGCGCCCACCGACGGGUGCCCCCAUCCCGCCACGGCUCCGCUCGGCUGCAGCACCGCAGCGCUGGACUCAGGGGGUGAGUUUGGGGGCUGCGGGGCGUGCGGCAGGCUGUCCGCACCGGGUGGCUGUGGGAAAGCUGGCAUUGCCCCACUGGGGAUGUCCUUGCUUUUCCAGCAGCCACAGCGAGCGCAGACAUCCCGGAGGACGUGGCGGACAUCCAGCAUCUCCUGGCAUGGCUCAACGACGGUGAGUUUGGGGGCAGCAGAGCUGGCGGGGGGUUGCUGGCACCCCACCCACCCACCCACACUGGGUGUGGGAAAGAAAGCUGGCAUUGCCCCACUGGGCAUUUUCUGCCUUUUCCAGAAGUGACAUCCAAGACAGGCAUCCUGUACGACGACGCAGACAUCGAUGACCUGCUCACGUGGAUCAACAACGGUGAGUCUCUCUCGGAGGGGCAGCAGAGCUGCUGGGGGGGUGUCUGCACGGAGUGGGCGUGGGAAAGCCGGCAUUGCCAUUGCCCCGCUGGGCAUUUUCUGCCUUUUCCAGAAGAGACACCCAGCACCCACAGACUUGACAACGAUGAUGUGGAAAUGGACCGUUUGCUCACCUGGAUUGACGGUGAGACUGUGCUCCGCAGAGGUGACCCCCAGAGGUGGCUGCCUGCACCGAGUGGCUGUGGGAAGGCUGCCAUCAUCUUCGGGGGGAUGUUCUUGCUUUUUCAGAAGCGGCUCUGGAGGUCCCCCAGCACAAGCAGGACCUGCCCGGUGUCACAAGAGAGGGGACCAAAGCCACUGCAAACAGCUGCCAAACGCAAGAGCUGAUGCAGCGCAUCACUGCCACGGAGCCACUGAGCCCUGAUGUCUCCAGCAGCCUCGACUCCUCUUCUUCCGGCACAGAGCACUCGGACUCCUCCGGGGCCAGCAGGGAGCUGAGCAACGAGACACAUCCUGAAUCAGGGCUCCUCAGCAACUCGCUCUGCUGGCAGCCAGCAUCCCCUGAGCUGCCCGUGCCGACGCCCCUGGCUGCCCCUGCGCCUCCGUCGCCCCGCACUGCACAUCUGAUGGAAGAGGCGCGGCGGAGGCAGCCCCGGGUGGUUCUCACCCGCCUGGCACUGCCGACCCCCCUGGCUGCCCCCGCACCUCUGCUGCCCCGCACUGCACGUCUGAUCCAAGAGGUGCAGCGGAGGCAGCCCCGGGUGGUUCUCACCCGCCUGGCACUGCCGACCCCCCUGGCUGCCCCCGCACCUCUGCUGCCCCGCACUGCACGUCUGAUCCAAGAGGUGCAGCGGAGGCAGCCCCGGGUGGUUCUCACCCGCCUGGCACUGCCACCCGGAUGCAUCUCCUGCCGGCUGGCAGACAUGCACCACGAGGACAGCACCGAGCCAGCCAAGUGCCCAGCGCCCGCCUGCACCACCACUAACAGCAAGAGCACCGGGCACGAGCAGCACACUGGCAGCGGCCCAGCCACAAAGAGGAAGCUGCCGCGCUGCCACGAUGGCCCAGGCCACAAACACCGGCGCUAGGCCAAGCUGGCUGUGUCAGCACGGUGGGCGGGCAGCAGGAGGACUGUGCCCUGAUGGGGUGCCCAUCACAGCCCAACAGCGGCUCGAGCGGGAGCGCACCAAGAAACCGGCCCACUUGCUGGAGCAGGAGACGUGGCCAUAGCCGACCAAGACGGCUCCCUGGAGCCCUGGGCUCCUCGCUGGCCCCCACCAUGCCCAGAGAGCAGCGGCAGUGUUCUGGGGGCACCAGCACCGGCCCCAGCCCUACUCCUCCAAAACUGGGCUGUCCACAAACGGCAUCUUGGGCUGGGGCAAUGCGGGACUCUGAAGCUGAUGGACCGCCAACGGGUUGGACUGUCAAAGCUUUGGGCUGGGAAAAGAAGGCUGGGGGGUGGGAAUUUGGGGUGGGGAGGGGAUGGUUGCGGGGUGGGGAAUGGGUGGGGGUGGGAAUUUGGGGUGGGAACUCUUUGGGUGAGAACUUGGGGUGGGAAUUCUUGGGGUGCUGGGAUCUUUUUGGGGUUGGAAAUGAAAUGGCUGUACUGUGAUAUUGUUGGGGUGGGAAUCCGGGGUGGGGGAGGGAAUUUGGGGUGGGAACUCUUGGGGUGGGAAUUCAUGGGGUGUUGGGAUCUUCCUGAGGUUGGAAAUGGCUGUACUGAGAUAUUGUUGGGGUGGGAAUCCGGGGUGGGGGGUGGGAAUUUGGUGUUGGAAUUCUUAAGGCACUGGGAUCUUUCUGAGGUUAGAAAUGAAAUGGCUGUACUGUGAUAUUGUUGGGGUGGGAAUUUGGGGGUUGGGAAACUGCUGGGGUGAGAAAUGGCUGCCGUGGGAGAUGGUUGGCAUCAAAAAUUAUUGGACACCGUAACUGCUGGCACUGAAGAUGGGGGGAGGGGGAGGGAAUUCUGUGGGGUGGCAAUUCUGGGGGAGAAAUUGUACUCUGAUCACGUUACACUCCCAAGUUGUUGGAAUUUGGAGGAAGGAACUGUUGGGGUGGGAAUUUGGGGGGCUGGGAGGUUUUCUGCAGAGGGAGGGAACUAUUGGUGGGAGGGAGCGGGGGGGAAGCGGGGAGGAGGGUGGGUGGUGAGCAAUUGAUUGCGGGGUGGGAGCUGGGGGGUGGGAAAUUGAUUAGAGGGUGGGAAUUUUAGGGGGUGGGAUCAGAAACAAUUGUUAGGGUGGGAAAUGGUUGGGAAUAUAAUCAUUUAUUUGCUGUUUUGUACGUUAAAUUAUUAAACGUAUGGCGUUCGCUUUCCUACACCUCUGCCUGCAGUCGUUUGUGCAGCACCAAAGCCCCCCCCGGCCCACCUCCGGGAUGCUGGGGUGGCUGCAGCGAGCCAACAGCUCCUCCACUCUGAACAUCUCCAUCUCCAUCGCUGCUGUCAACGCCUCUGUUGCCUUGUGCUGUUCCUGGGGAAGGAGAUGGUCACGCAGUGGCAGUGGUGUGUGAGCUGGGGGCACUGGGCAGUACUGGAGGCACUGGGAAGCCACUGCAGGGCACUGGGGGCCUGAGUUGCACAAGAAGAUCUAGACAAUCGGGGCAAGGGAGCUAGUGGGG